UACGUAGGGACCAAGCGUUGUUCGGAUUUACUGGGCGUAAAGGGCGCGUAGGCGGCCCGCACAAGUCUGCGGUGAAAACCCCCGGCUUAACCGGGGGCCGGCCGUGGAAACUGUCGGGCUGGAGGCUGGGAGAGGGCAGCGGAAUUCCCGGUGUAGCGGUGAAAUGCGUAGAUAUCUGGAGGAAUACCGGUGGCGAAGGCGGCAUCCUGGACCAUUACUGACGCUGAGGCGCGAAAGCUAGGGGAGCAAACGGG
rnacentral:rRNA from 1 species